GGUGGGAGGGGAGGGAGGCCGGGAGGUGUGCGUGAUCCAGUCACGGUACAGGAGCAUGGCUGUGGGACGUGGUCAGGCAUCUACUGAGGACUUACACGGAAGGGAAAGCAAGAGUGUCAUUGCAUCUUUGCGAGGACAGAAAUGAAUGAAAUUAGGUUAUUUGAGAAAGCCAAGUCCCAGCCCAAUUUAGUCUGCGGCACCUGCCCCAGCAUUCCUGCCCCUGAACGUUACCCCAGACCUUUACUCCAGAUUUUGAAAGUGACCAGGAUCCGAUAGCUCUGGAGGCCCAGUGGUCUUCUUUCCAAAAGGGCUGUCAUCUGAGGGUUGCAAUGUCACUGUCAGGGUCAUGGUCCUGGGAAAUGGGACCAGGGGGUGGGAAAUGAUUUUCUUGAUUGAGUGUAGACUGUGUUGCCUAGUGGGUGGAAAGAAAUGUAUUUUUAAGCUUCAAAAGCAUUCUCCUGUAGGAUUUCCCUGAACAUCUGGCUCCCCCAUCUCUUGUUUCCCUCUCUUCCCAUGGCUUGUUAUCUAUUUUAUGUGAUCAGAAUUUUGGGGAAAAUGAGAAGAAAUUUUCCUUAAGGGCAGCUAGGGGCAGAAAGGCAGUGUUUAAGCAAACAUGUAAGUACAAGCAAAUCAUCCUCAUUAAAAAGCUGUUCCUAAAGGUUAGGUAGGACUUCUGAGUACAGGAAUUAAACAGGCUUGGUCCCCUUGUCUCAAGAGUAUGCAUGUGAAGAAGAUGAGUGUGAUUAAACAGUUUACACUCAGGGAUUUGGGGAGAGUGAAAUCUUUCACAGAAACUCAAUGAAGUUCCCUUCCAAACUUUCAGAGCUGGGGGAUGAACACAAGCAGUUACCUGAAGUGAGCAGUGUUACGACUCAGAGAUCAGUCACUUGAACAAUGGGACAAGCUCCGAAGGUCUGUCGUGACCACGGGCUUACCUGGAGACCCAAGCAUGGCCCUGUCAGGAACGCUGCUUCCGGAAGCUUGAGCCCACCCCUGCCUGGACUUGUCAGUGAGCCUGCUCCUGCAGGAGACAGGGACCUCCUGGGGUGGGGGGGGUGACUGUCACCCAUCACCUCUGGCUCAGAAGAGCCAAUCAGAAACCACAGGAUUUGGGGUCACACUUGCUAUCCCAGGUUUGGGAACCUGAAAAGUCUCUACUUAGCAAACAGUUGUUUUCCCUCUCCCGUGCCAUUUUAACUGCCUGAAUGACCCAUGAGGGGCCAGGUGUUCUUUCUGUGCACUUUUCUCAGCGCUCUGUCCUCUGCCCGGUCCCACCUGCUGGCUCACGUGGCCGAGUGGGCCUCUUCCCGGGCCCCAGCUGCUUGCCUCACGGCAGAGAUUUUAGGGAAGUGUUUGUGUAACUUCCCAUCUUCGGGAGAACGGUAAACACGUCCGAAGGAUUCACUUAAGGGAAUUGUUUUUUAAAAAAUUAACUUGGAGCUAUAUAAAGGAGGGAAGAUGGGAACAUUUUUAAUACUUUGUUUUCCUGUGUGCACACACAGUAGUAGUGCUGCAGGAGUGUGUCUCAUGCCGCGACCACCAAAACCCUCCUAGGUACUUCCCUCAGAGGGACACGUUUGCUGUUCUCCUACAAGCAGAUGUUGUUGCCUGGGCGGCAGGCUCCUUGGCAAGAACAAGAGGUGCGAUGGAACCUCCCUCCUAGCCAGGGUCUCCAUGGAGGUGUCCUCAAUUCACAUACUGGGGUUUUGAAACAAGGAAACCAGUGAGUGGAGGAGUGAGGGAGGGUGAGCAUGUGUGUGGACAGGCACUGUCCAGCCCGGCAGCAAGACUGGAGCCUUCGAGAUCCUGCUAGCACGUGAGCCCAGGCACUGGGUGUCCUUCAGAUCCCAUGCGCGCCUCUGGGCUCACCCACAGAAGGGCCACGUGGCUGCAGCUUUACAGUCCUGACCCUUCUGGAGCAGCAGUGCACGGACAAGACAACGGGGCCCUUUACAAGUCAAGGCCACAGCCUGCCUAACAAGCAGGUUGUUUGGCCACGUCCUAGCAACUGGUAGAAGGUUUGAAGUCAGGCUGAUACUAAGAAAAAUCAAAACCCCAGCCCAGGAUUGGGAAAACAGGUAGUGGUUCCAGGCUUUUAAAAAACUAUUUAAGCUCUCCAUCCUGUUGUGUAAAUUUGUCUUCUUUCUCCAUCACUUAGCUGUGACCAGCAUUGAGCUGUCCUCCAGUAAAGAUGACCUACAGGGGUCCAAAGCCAGGUGGUUUCACCAGCUAACAAGCUGCCUUCCUGCAGCUUUCCGCAGGGCACUCGGGCUCAUCGCAGCACAGUGUUUGAGCGGUUAGCCCAUGCAGUAUUUCAGGGAUUGGGCAGAAAAUAUCGGUGCACAUCACAGAGCCAUUGGUGGUAUUUAUAGCUUCACUUUCUCCUCCUACUCCCUGUUCCUGCCUGCACAGAGUAUCCAUGUUUCCUUUGAGAAAUCUGUUGUGGACUGAAAGUGCUGCUGGCUGUGAAAUUUAAUAAAGGGUGCGUAUUUGCUAGAAAAUUAUUUCUUCGACAAGAACAAUCAUUGAUCUCUUAAUCCUGGCUCUUAACAGUGGCCAAGGACUUGCUCAGCCUGUUUCUUGGUCCCUCAGUGCUUUCAAAUGUAAGCAGCAAAGCAUUUUGUGCUGUCGAAUGUGGUUCUGGUGACUCGGUGGCUUGCUACCUUGGAAGGAGGCGCUUGCUCCAGUGUUAAAGACAGGCUCCAAGCAGAGCUUGAGCCACUUCAGUUUUCUCUCAAGAAACCUCUUUUGAAUAAAAUACUCAGUUUUCCCCCAGACAUGUCCAGCCAGCAGAGGCGGCUCACAGCCUCCUAAGACCCCUUCCCAUGACUGCUGUGGUGAAAUUCCCACUCCGCACUGCGGUCUCAUCAGGACCUCGGCUCCCUCUUGUCCCGUGACCUUCCCUGCCCCUCCUCCAUCAUCCUUCCUCCACCCCUUUCUGCCCAGGCCUCACAGGCUCACUCCGCGAACACGGGCUAAAGGCUUUGGUGCAUUGCAGCGCUUUCUCCCAGCAGCUGUGAGCACGAUAUAUUUUCUACGCUAAGGAGGAUUUUAUUAAGAGAGUGCAUACUAAUGUCGUAUAUUACUGCUUUGGGCUGUAUACGAUGGUCUUCCUUCACACUAAAAUGUACGUCUUAUUUUAGUACUUGCAAGAGUCUGCUAUGAGGAACCAGUCCUACAUGCCGAGGACGAGCGUGAAAGAUGCCGUCGUAGUUGCCGGUGGCAUCCUGGCCGUCUCCCCAUCCUGAAGCGUUUGCUUCGAGGAAGGCUCUUAGAACAUAGACAGUCUGGUGAGGUGGUUGGCCCAGCUCCAUACACCCAGUAAAACAGCCGAACGGUUCAUGCCUCACGCUGCCAAGCCGCUGAAUUUCAAAGGGAGCAGACCCCGCCUGCCCGCUCCUCCACCCCUGUUCCCACACUCCACGCCUCACCCCCGUGCUCUUCUCGGACCCAGGUGCACAGUGCGCCAAGUCCAGGGUGCCCACGGCCCGUUGCUUUAUUUUCCCUUUGGGAUUCAGUAAGUUAAUGGCUUCCCCACUAACGAAAUUAGACUUUGACUCAGUACCUCUCGGUGUAUCAAAAGGUAUUCAUCUGGAACAUACCAAAUGUUCUAGAAGAUCUGCUCUUUGCUCCAGUUUUCCCUAGGGUGUUUCUGGCAGGGAAUCUUUAAAAGACAUCCACCUGAGUUGAUGCUAAAACUUGUCGCCACCCGGAAUGUAGUUAUUGGUCAGCAAGAUGAACAUUCUCCGAAUUCCCCCGGGGCUGCUUUUGUAGCCUGGUGAUGCACUUGUGCCCUCUCUGAGUGGCUUAUGCUUAAAAAACAGAUAAUACUUUUAGAUGGCUCACUGCUAGGGCCUGGGACGCGCUGUCCCUGAGAUCUGUGUGAAGAAAGCACCCUGAGGGGAGGGGCGAGAGGGAGCGAGGGCGGGUGCUGGUGGGGACCUGGGGGGCCCUGACGGCAGCAAGUCUGCGGGCCUGUGUUGGGGGGUUCUGGGUGAAACAGAAAAGCCAACUCACGCCAAGACAGCUUAUUUUGCUGUGAUACAAAUGUGUAAACUAAAGAUUCUGUGGCAGAAAUUACGUUUGUGGGCAGGCAAAUCAGACAGAGCCACAGGGCCAGCCUCCUCAGCAUUUUGAGAUCCUAUUACAGGACCCACAAAUCCUGUCCACACAGGCGGGUGGUUCUUGACUCUUUAAGCAGCUUUGACAGGUCGAAAAUUGCAUUUGCCUAGUCAUGUGACCUCAAAAGAAGUCCGCCAUACUUAAUCCAGAAAUAAGAUUCAUUUGAGGGAGGCUUGCAGGUCUGUAAAUAUCAUUUGCUUUCCUGGUUAGAUUGGGAUGCAGAAGGUUUUCAGUAUUGUUUUUUAACACUAAUGAUCACUGAAGAGUAUUUAUGUACACAUGUAAUGGGCGGGGGUCCGGUCAAGGUGUUGUAUGGGGUGGAUUCUCUCGCUGUGAUGCAAAUGUGUAAAAUAAAGAUUCCGCGACGGAAAUUGUGUUUGUAAUCCGAGAGUCAGCGAC